rnacentral:rRNA from 2 species
UAGAAGCUUGCUUCUAUGACGUUAGCGGCGGACGGGUGAGUAACACGUGGGCAACCUGCCUGUAAGACUGGGAUAACUUCGGGAAACCGAAGCUAAUACCGGAUAGGAUCUUCUCCUUCAUGGGAGAUGAUUGAAAGAUGGUUUCGGCUAUCACUUACAGAUGGGCCCGCGGUGCAUUAGCUAGUUGGUGAGGUAACGGCUCACCAAGGCAACGAUGCAUAGCCGACCUGAGAGGGUGAUCGGCCACACUGGGACUGAGACACGGCCCAGACUCCUACGGGAGGCAGCAGUAGGGAAUCUUCCGCAAUGGACGAAAGUCUGACGGAGCAACGCCGCGUGAGUGAUGAAGGCUUUCGGGUCGUAAAACUCUGUUGUUAGGGAAGAACAAGUACAAGAGUAACUGCUUGUACCUUGACGGUACCUAACCAGAAAGCCACGGCUAACUACGUGCCAGCAGCCGCGGUAAUACGUAGGUGGCAAGCGUUAUCCGGAAUUAUUGGGCGUAAAGCGCGCGCAGGCGGUUUCUUAAGUCUGAUGUGAAAGCCCACGGCUCAACCGUGGAGGGUCAUUGGAAACUGGGGAACUUGAGUGCAGAAGAGAAAAGCGGAAUUCCACGUGUAGCGGUGAAAUGCGUAGAGAUGUGGAGGAACACCAGUGGCGAAGGCGGC